UGUUAUUAUGAAACACAUAUGCAUGUAUUACUUUUUGUUUGACAGCAACAAAUUAAAAGAAAAUAUAUUAUGGCCAAUUAGACAUUUACGAGAGUAAAUGUGAAUGCAGCAGGAAAUGACGUCAGGACCGCAGGAGUUGUUUGGAAAACUGAGUGGCACAAAGCGAGGGAGCCAGCAGCCGUGAAAAAAGGAGACACGAAAGGAAAAAGCAGGAUGGAGAGGGGCAGAAGAUUCCGCAUCCUGCUUUCUGAUAGACGAAAAAAAGGAAAAGCACAAGAAGAAGAAGAUCAAGAAGAACAAAAAAUAUAACAUUUUACCUAAAAGAAACAUAUAAUCAAUGAUGAUUGUAAAUAAAUAAAUAAAUAAGUUUAAUGUUA